GAUGAACGCUGGCGGCGUGCCUAAUACAUGCAAGUCGAGCGAACAGAUGAGGAGCUUGCUCCUCUGACGUUAGCGGCGGACGGGUGAGUAACACGUGGAUAACCUACCUAUAAGACUGGGAUAACUUCGGGAAACCGGAGCUAAUACCGGAUAAUAUAUUGAACCGCAUGGUUCAAUAGUUAAAGACGGUUUUGCUGUCACUUAUAGAUGGAUCCGCGCCGCAUUAGCUAGUUGGUAAGGUAACGGCUUACCAAGGCAACGAUGCGUAGCCGACCUGAGAGGGUGAUCGGCCACACUGGAACUGAGACACGGUCCAGACUCCUACGGGAGGAAGCAGUAGGGAAUCUUCCGCAAUGGGCGAAAGCCUGACGGAGCAACGCCGCGUGAGUGAUGAAGGUCUUCGGAUCGUAAAACUCUGUUAUUAGGGAAGAACAAAUGUGUAAGUAACUAUGCACGUCUUGACGGUACCUAAUCAGAAAGCCACGGCUAACUACGUG
rnacentral:rRNA from 1 species